CUCUCUGUCCUGCAUGGCUGGUGUGUCUCUCUGUCCUGCAUGGCUGGUGUGUCUCUCUGUCCUGCAUGGCUGAGAUUAACUCCGAUAAAGAUGAAACGAAUCCUAAUAAGACUAACAUGGACUCCAUAACCCAAUUGUUUCUCUCCGUGUUUUGUGGAGUUGUUGCUAUACCUUCUAUUGUCUAGUAGCGUUAACCCACAAGCACGAAGACCCACAAGAGAGAAACACGUCAUAAUAGGCCCCAGUAGUCCCAAUAAGCCCCAAACAUAACCAAACUAUUGGCUGAUUAGUACUGGGACCCACUCCUACUGAUUAGGUUAAAUUAAUCGGGUCUAUUGGGACUUGGGCCCGAUAAGAGUGAGGACAAUUAGGGUUGUAUUGUGGUAAUAACAGAUAGAGAAAUUAGCAAAAUAAAAUAGAAGUAAACAAAGAAAGAGGUUGUGAAAAUUAAUAAAUGAGUAAAAAAGGAAGAGAGAGAGAGAGAGAGAGGUGCGCAUGUAAAGGUGCAGCAGGUCUGGGUGUGUGUGUGUGUGUGUUUGGUGUGCACUGUGCAGUCGUCGGCCAGUCAGCGGUGGACCGGCGGCGAGCUACCAGAGCACCUCUCUCUCCAGGCUGCCUCUGCCGCUGCUCGCUCCCUCGUCCCGGCCACUCCAGUCUGUGCCUCACCCGUCGUCUCACCUACCUAUUACUCCUGACCAAAAUAUCCGCACGUGAAAAUAAAAUAGUAAAGAUGAGAGGCAGCUCCUACGGACGUCAGCCAACACAUCCUAACCACCUCCAGGUCGCACUACACCCCAGUGUUUUGUGAGUCAUCGUCUACUUUUAGAACUUUAUAAGUAUUUCUAAACAAACAAUUGAGUUCUUUAUCCGCAUCAAAGAGGGAUGACAAGUACAAGUGUAGUCUUGACAUAUAAAUGAUCCAUCAACACUUCCUUAACCUCUUCCGAUACAGCGAGGAUCAGGCAAGGUAUCAAUGUCACUCAACUCAAAGCAACACAACGCGUUCAUGCAACAAAUCUCUGGAAAGUUCAUAUGAGUGAGAAAGAACUAUUCAAAAUACUAUAUCUACUGUAUACAUUAUUGUCCCGACAAAAAUACUGAAAGUUUAUACCAGUGAGAGAGGAAUACAUGGACCUAAUUUCCUCCUCAGUCAACGUCUACACAAGUAACUGGAAUAUGAAGAAAUAAUUGUACAUGUAAUUGGUGACAACAGACCCAGCUGGACUCACUACCUCCUAAGUGUCAACACCACCACAC